AGUGUGGUCCUACGCGAGAACCAUUUGCUAAAAGAUUUAGGACGUCAAGAAACAGAAACUGCAGAAUAAGCAGAGUCUCACAUUUCGAAUGAUCUUAUCUUCGAAGGAGCAGAGGAGUUGGAUACAGAUGAUGUCAAUCUGAAAUUUAGCUAGCAAAUGAUAACGAUCGAUCUGAACAAAAAGUAGUGGUAAUGGGAAUUGAGACAGUCUCUGCAGUAGGCUUCACAUGCUAUGCUUAUCUGCUCUGCUCUGCUCUGCCCUCAUUUCUGAUAUACUUUCUCUAUCUGGAGAUUGAGGAAGGAGAUGGGGCUUCUGGUAUUCCUUUAGAAAUGCAAGACAAGUCUUCGACUAUUAUGGAGGCGUUGCGUGAUAGAAUUAGAGAUGAAAUUGUUGAGAAAUAUUAUCAUG